rnacentral:rRNA from 1 species
CCUACGGGGUGCUUCAGUGGGGAAUAUUGGACAAUGGGCGAAAGCCUGAUCCAGCCAUGCCGCGUGUGUGAAGAAGGCCUUCGGGUUGUAAAGCACUUUCAGUGGGGAAGAAAGCCUUGGGGCUAAUACCCUCGAGGAAGGACAUCACCCACAGAAGAAGCACCGGCUAACUCCGUGCCAGCAGCCGCGGUAAUACGGAGGGUGCGAGCGUUAAUCGGAAUUACUGGGCGUAAAGCGCGCGUAGGCGGUCUGAUAAGCCGGUUGUGAAAGCCCCGGGCUCAACCUGGGAACGGCAUCCGGAACUGUCAGGCUAGAGUGCAGGAGAGGAAGGUAGAAUUCCCGGUGUAGCGGUGAAAUGCGUAGAGAUCGGGAGGAAUACCAGUGGCGAAGGCGGCCUUCUGGACUGACACUGACGCUGAGGUGCGAAAGCGUGGGUAGCAAACAGGAUUAGAUACCCCAGUAGUC